GACGAACGCUGGCGGCGUGCUUAACACAUGCAAGUCGAACGGUAAGGCCCCAGAUUGCUGGGGUACACGAGUGGCGAACGGGUGAGUAACACGUGGGUGACCUGCCCCGCACUUCGGGAUAAGCCUGGGAAACUGGGUCUAAUACCGGAUAGGACCGCACCGUGAGGGUGUGGUGGAAAGUUGUUCGGUGUGGGAUGGGCCCGCGGCCUAUCAGCUUGUUGGUGGGGUAAUGGCCUACCAAGGCGGCGACGGGUAGCCGGCCUGAGAGGGUGGACGGCCACAUUGGGACUGAGAUACGGCCCAGACUCCUACGGGAGGCAGCAGUGGGGAAUAUUGCACAAUGGGCGGAAGCCUGAUGCAGCGACGCCGCGUGGGGGAUGACGGCCUUCGGGUUGUAAACGCCUUUCACCAUCGACGAAGGUUUUCUGACGGUAGCUGGAGAAGAAGCACCGGCUAACUACGUG
rnacentral:rRNA from 1 species